UACGGAGGGUGCAAGCGUUGUCCGGAUUUAUUGGGUUUAAAGGGUGCGUAGGCGGCCCUGUAAGUCCGUGGUGAAAGCCAACAGCUCAACUGUUGAACUGCCAUGGAUACUGCAGGGCUUGAGUACAGACGAGGUAGGCGGAAUGGAUAGUGUAGCGGUGAAAUGCAUAGAUACUAUCCAGAACACCGAUUGCGUAGGCAGCUUACUAGGCUGUAACUGACGCUGAGGCGCGAAAGCGUGGGGAGCAAACAGG
rnacentral:rRNA from 1 species